rnacentral:rRNA from 1 species
CAGUCGCCGCGGGAAUACGUAGGUGGCAAGCGUUGUCCGGAAUUAUUGGGCGUAAAGGGCUCGCAGGCGGUUUCUUAAGUCUGAUGUGAAAGCCCCCGGCUCAACCGGGGAGGGUCAUUGGAAACUGGGAAACUUGAGUGCAGAAGAGGAGAGUGGAAUUCCACGUGUAGCGGUGAAAUGCGUAGAGAUGUGGAGGAACACCAGUGGCGAAGGCGACUCUCUGGUCUGUAACUGACGCUAAGGAGCGAAAGCGUGGGGAGCGAACAGGAUUAGAUACCCCCGUAGUCCCUGUCUCUUAUAC